GCAAGUCGAGCGAGAAAGGUCUUCGGACUGAGUACAGCGGCGGACGGGUGAGUAACGCGUAGGAAUCUACCCGGGUAGUGGGGGACAACAUGGGGAAACUCAUGCUAAUACCGCAUACGCCCUAUGGGGGAAAGCGGGGGACCUUCGGGCCUCGCGCUAUCGGAAGAGCCUGCGUUGGGUUAGCUUGUUGGUGAGGUAAAGGCUCACCAAGGCGACGAUCCAUAGCUGGUCUGAGAGGAUGAUCAGCCACACUGGGACUGAGACACGGCCCAGACUCCUACGGGAGGCAGCAGUGGGGAAUAUUGCGCAAUGGGGGCAACCCUGACGCAGCCAUGCCGCGUGUGUGAAGAAGGCCUUCGGGUUGUAAAGCACUUUCAAUUGGGAAGAAAGGUUGCCGGUUAAUACCCGGUAGCUGUGACAUUACCUUUAGAAGAAGCACCGGCUAACUCCGUGCCAGCAGCCGCGGUAAUACGGAGGGUGCGAGCGUUAAUCGGAAUUACUGGGCGUAAAGCGCGCGUAGGCGGUUUGUUAAGUUGGAUGUGAAGGCCCCGGGCUCAACCUGGGAAUUGCACCCGAUACUGGCCGACUAGAGUACGAGAGAGGGAGGUAGAAUUCCACGUGUAGCCGUGAAAUGCGUAGAUAUGUGGAGGAAUACCGGUGGCGAAGGCGGCCUCCUGGCUCGAUACUGACGCUGAAGUGCGAAAGCGUGGGGAGCAAACAGGAUUAGAUACC
rnacentral:rRNA from 1 species